AGUGAACGCUGGCGGUAGGCCUAACACAUGCAAGUCGAACGGAGUGGCGGACGGGUGAGUAAUACAUCGGAAUCUACUCUGUCGUGGGGGAUAACGUCGGGAAACUUACGCUAAUACCGCAUACUAUCAGAUGAGCCUAGGUCGGAUUAGCUAGUUGGUGGGGUAAAGGCCUACCAAGGCGACGAUCCGUAACUGGUCUGAGAGGAUGAUCAGUCAGACUGGAACUGAGAGACUGUGCAGAAUCCUACGGGAGGCAGCAGUGGGGAAUAUUGGACAAUGGGCGAAAGCCUGAUACAGACAUGCCGCGUGUGUGAAGAAGGUCUUCGGAUUGUAAAGGACUUUAAGUUGGGAGGCGUUACCAACAGAAUAAGCACCGGCUAACUUCGUGCCAGCAGCCGCGGUAAUUC
rnacentral:rRNA from 1 species